rnacentral:lncRNA from 1 species
AUAAAUAAUAGAAAAUUAAUGGGUUUUUUUUUAUUUGUUUUAGUUUGGUUUUGGGGGUUUGGAGGAUUGUGCGGUGGUUGGGGGGGGGGGGGGGGGGGGGGGGGGCAUGUUUAUUUUUUAUAUCUAUUUAGAGCUGGCUUUCCCACGUUUUUCAGGCAGCAAAAUUAGACCAGUAGCAACUUUGUCAAACUCUUUUUUUCCUUACAACAUAUUCAUUUUCUUUCAGAGUCUGCCAAGUUCCCGUGAAGGGCUGAGAUCUUCUGGUGGUCCUCAGCAGCAGUGUGCCUGCAGGGAGGUUCCUGUAUCUGCGCAUCACUUUGCGAAACGGUGCCGUCACAGGAAAAUGACAGACAAGACAAGCUAUGAGUGAGGAAUCCAGCCCCUAAAGGAGCAAUCUUGUCUAGCCUGGAGAAGCUUUCUGGGUAGAAGGCACCACCACAGGUCAGAUAAAUUUCUGUAGCAAUCACAAAAAGGCCAGCUGAGGUCAGGUCAUCUCUAAUAAGCAGAUAUUUCCAUGCUGGAGCAGCAGGCCCUGACACAGUUCUGUUCCAAACACACGGCCAAUAUUUGCUAUUACAGAUCAUUUAUUAAAUCCUGGCCAAUCAUAAUAGGAAAUCUUAUGCAUGUGAAGAU